rnacentral:lncRNA from 1 species
CACCUCCUUUUCUUUCUUCUUCUCUUCUUCUUUCUUUGCUGCCCUUCUUUUGGCUCGCUCUUCUCGUUUGGCUUUUCUUUCUUCUUUUCUCUUUUUCUUGGCAGCUAGCUUUUCAUCUUCUUUUCUUUUUGCUUUAGCUUCUCUUCUUGCUUGCCUUCUCUCGGGGUCGGUAGUCAUACCACCAUCAGGCUUGAGGGUGGAGUUGCUGGCUGUUG